rnacentral:rRNA from 1 species
ACCUGGUUGAUCCUGCCAGUAGUCAUAUGCUUGUCUCAAAGAUUAAGCCAUGCAUGUCUAAGUGCACGCCUUUAUACGGUGAAACCGCGAAUGGCUCAUUAAAUCAGCUAUGGUUUACUGGAUCGUACCCGUUAAAUGGAUAACUGUAAUAACUCUAGAGCUAAUACAUGCCACGAAGCCCUGACCCGCAAGGGARUGGGUGCACUUAUUAGAUCAGAAGCCAAUCAGACAUUGGUCGCAAGGCUGGUGUCUGUUGUCGUUCUGGUGACUCUGGAUAAUUGUUACAGAUCGCAGUCGGCCUUGAGUCGCACGGUCCUUCAAAUGUCUGCCCUAUCAACUUUCGAUGGUAGGUGAUCUGCCUACCAUGGUGAUAACGGGUAACGGGGAAUCAGGGUUCGAUUCCGGAGAGGGAGCCUGAGAAACGGCUACCACUUCCAAGGGAGGCAGCAGGCGCGCAAAUUACCCACUCCCAGUACGGGGAGGUGGUGACGAAAAAUACCGAUGCGGGACUCCCAAACGAGGCUCCGUAAUCGGAAUGGGUGAACUAUAAAUCCUUUCACGAGGAUCAAUUGGAGGGCAAGUCUGGUGCCAGCAGCCGCGGUAACUCCAGCUCCAAUAGCGUAUAUUAAAGUUGCUGCAGUUAAAAAGCUCGUAGUUGGAUCUCGGUAUCAUUGUUGCCUGCCAGUCCUUAAGGUAUUGGCUUAUCGGUGCAUGGGUGCGCCUGUGUACCAUAUGUCGACUGCUUUGAGUUGGUGUGGCGGCGGUGUCACCUUUCAGCCAUGUCUGUGGUGAAAUACCCAUAGGUGUAGGUGGGUGCCGGGCGGUGCCUUGCAACUGUAGGGUUCGUCGGCUCGUCUGCAUGCCCUUAGAUGCCCUUUAAAAGGUGUCUGUGGGCAGAUGGCACGUUUACUUUGAACAAAUUUGAGUGCUCAAACCAGGCCGAUGUUGCCUGAAAAGUUUUGCAUGGAAUAAUGGAAUAGGACUUCAGUUCUAUUUCGUUGGUUUUCGGAUCCGAAGUAAUGAUCAAUAGAGACAGGCGGGGACGUUUGUAUGGUUGCGCUAGAGGUGAAAUUCUUGGACCGUAGCCAGACAAACUAAAGCGAAAGCAUUCGUCAAGCAUGUUUUCAUUGGCCAUGAGCGAAAGUCAGAGGCUCGAAGACGAACAGAUACCGUCCUAGUUCUGACCAUAAACGAUGCCAACUGACGAUCCGUGGUGGUAGUCUUUAAACCUUCCUCACGGGCAGUCCCCGGGAAACCAUUAAGUCUAUGGGUUCCGGGGGAAGUAUGGUUGCAAAGCUGAAACUUAAAGGAAUUGACGGAAGGGCACCACCAGGAGUGGAGCCUGCGGCUUAAUUUGACUCAACACGGGAAAACUCACCCGGCCCGGACACUAUGAGGAUUGACAGAUUGAAAGCUCUUUCUUGAUUUGGUGGUUGGUGGUGCAUGGCCGUUCUUAGUUGGUGGAGCGAUUUGUCUGGUUAAUUCCGAUAACGUAACGAGACUCCAGCCUGCUAAUUAGUGCAUCUGUCCACUGUUCCUGUGCAGGUGGGCGUGCGAAAUUGUGCUCUUCAAUACUGAUGUAGUGGGUGCAAUAAUGGGGUAAUUAGUGGUUUUCGCAAGGAUUUCGCCUAUUACUCUAUGCUUGUUGCUAUCUGCCGCUGAGGUUUGAGCGUAAAUUUGUGCGUUUGCUUCCGGGUACGGCGCGGAUGUCUACUUCUUAGAGGGACAAGCGGGAGAAGCCGCACGAAAUUGAGCAAUAACAGGUCUGUGAUGCCCUUAGAUGUCCGGGGCCGCACGCGCGCUACAAUGACGGUGGCAACGAGUCUGACCUUCUGGCCCGAAAGGGUUGGGCAAACUGGUCAAUCACCGUCAUGACAGGGAUCGGGGCUUGGAAUUGUUCCCCGUGAACGAGGAAUUCCUAGUAAGUGCAAGUCAUAAGCUUGCGCUGAUUACGUCCCUGCCCUUUGUACACACCGCCCGUCGCUACUACCGAUUGAAUGGUUUAGUAAGGUCCUUGGAUUGGCGCCAUUGCAGCCGCAAGGCUCAGGCGGUGCUGAGAAGACGACCAAACUUGAUCAUUUAGAGGAAGUAAAAGUCGUAACAAGGUUUCCGUAGGUGAACCAGCGGAAG